rnacentral:rRNA from 1 species
CUUUCCCUCUGGCGGCAGGCCUAACACAUGCAAGUCGAACGGUAACAGGAAACAGCUUGCUGUUUCGCUGACGAGUGGCGGACGGGUGAGUAAUGUCUGUGAAACGGCCUGAUGGAGGGGGAUAACUACUGGAAACGGUAUCUAAUACCGCAUAACGUCGCAAGACCAAAGAGGGGGACCCUCGGGCCUCUUGCCCUCGGAGGUGCCCAGAUGGGAUUAGCUUGUUGGUGGGGUAACGGCUCACCAAGUCGACGAUCCCUAGCUGGUCUGAGAGGAUGACCAGCCACACUGGAACUGAGCCACGGUCCAGACUCCUACGGGAGGCAGCAGUGGGGAAGAUUGCACAAUGGGCGCAAGCCUGAUGCAGCCAUGCCGCGUGUAUGAAGAAGGCCUUCGGGUUGUAAAGUACUUUCAGCGGGGAGGAAGGGAGUAAAGUUAAUACCUUGGCUCAUUGACGUUACCCGCAGAAGAAGCACCGGCUAACUCCGUG